rnacentral:rRNA from 1 species
CUACGGGGUGCUGCAGUCGAGAAUAUUCCACAAUGGGCGAAAGCCUGAUGGAGCGACGCCGCGUGCUCGAAGAAACCCUUCGGGGUGUAAAGAGCUUUUCCUGCUGAAGAAGCCGCAAGGCUGACGGUAAGCAGGGAAUAAGGGGAUGCUAAUCACGUGCCAGCAGCAGCGGUAAUACGUGAUCCCCAAGCGUUAUCCGGAUUUAUUGGGCGUAAAGGGUCCGUAGGUGGUCUGAAAAGUUUUUAGUUAAAUACCCAGGGCUUAACCUUGGGAAUGCUAAAGAUACUUUUAAACUAGAGGGCGCUAGGGGCUGAUGGAACGGUCAGUGUAGGGGUGGAAUCCGUUGAUAUUGACCGGAACACCAAAAGCGAAGGCAUUCAGCUGGGGCGACCCUGACACUAAAGGACGAAAGCGUAGGUAGCGACAAGGAUUAGAUACCCUGGUAGUC